CAAUAGCGUAUAUUAAAGUUGUUGCGGUUAAAAAGCUCGUAGUUGGAUUUCUGCCGAGGACGACCGGUCCGCCCUCUGGGUGUGUAUCUGGUUUGGCCUGGGCAUCUUCUUGGAGAACGUAGCUGCACUUGACUGUGUGGUGCGGUGUCCAGGACUUUUACUUUGAGGAAAUUAGAGUGUUUCAAGCAGGCACACGCCUUGAAUACAUUAGCAUGGAAUAAUAAGAUAGGACCUCGGUUCUAUUUUGUUGGUUUCUAGAGCUGAGGUAAUGAUUAAUAGGGAUAGUUGGGGGCAUUCGUAUUUAACUGUCAGAGGUGAAAUUCUUGGAUUUAUGAAAGACGAACUAGUGCGAAAGCAUUUGCCAAGGAUGUUUUCAUUAA
rnacentral:rRNA from 1 species